AAUGACUAAUUGCUCCAUCUUAAAAACCUGUUGUUAGGGCUUGAGUUCUGUGCAUGAAGUGUCUUUAAAGUCAAGUAACAUUUACUAAACUCUCACCAUGUGCCAAGAACUGUGUGUACCCUAACAGACUUGACCCCCUAAUAACAUGGCAUAGGAAGUCCAGUUUCACAGAUGUUAAAGUAACUUACUAAAGAUUACACAUCUAAUAAGUAGUGAAGUCAGAUUCAAAAUCCAGAUGUCUGAUUCUUCCUUUUAAUUUAUUUUAUUAAAAAAAUUUUUUAAUGUUUAUUUUUGAAGAGAGAGAGAGACACAGAGUGUGAGUGGGAGAGGGGCAGAG